UACGUAGGCAGCGAGCGUUGUUCGGAAUUACUGGGCGUAAAGAGUGUGUAGGCGGUGCUCCCAGUCUGUUGUGAAAUCUCCCGGCUUAACUGGGAGGGUGCAGCGGAAACUAGAGUGCUAGAGGGUGGGAGAGGUAAGCGGAAUUCCUGGUGUAGCGGUGAAAUGCGUAGAUAUCAGGAGGAACACCUGUGGUGUAGACAGCUUACUGGACCACUUUUGACGCUGAGACACGAAAGCGUGGGUAGCAAACAGG
rnacentral:rRNA from 1 species